rnacentral:rRNA from 1 species
UCGGGAAUUUUGGGCAAUGGGCGAAAGCCUGACCCAGCAACGCCGCGUGAAGGAUGAAGUAUUUCGGUAUGUAAACUUCGAAAGAAUAGGAAGAAUAAAUGACGGUACUAUUUAUAAGGUCCGGCUAACUACGUGCCAGCAGCCGCGGUAAUACGUAGGGACCAAGCGUUGUUCGGAUUUACUGGGCGUAAAGGGCGCGUAGGCGGCAAUUCAAGUCAUCUGUGAAAUCUCCGGGCUUAACUCGGAACGGUCAGAUGAUACUGCUUUGCUAGAGUGCAGAAGGGGCAAUCGGAAUUCUUGGUGUAGCGGUGAAAUGCGUAGAUAUCAAGAGGAACACCUGAGGCGAAGGCGGGUUGCUGGGCUGAUACUGACGCUGAAGCGCGAAAGCUAGGGUAGCAAACGGGAUUAGAUACCCCCGUAGUCCCUGAGCGGGCUGGCAAGGCGCAU